GAAAUGCGAUAAGUAAUGUGAAUUGCAGAAUUCAGUGAAUCAUCGAAUCUUUGAACGCACAUUGCGCCCAUUAGUAUUCUAGUGGGCAUGCCUGUUCGAGCGUCAUUUCAACCCUCAAGCCCCAGUUGCUUGGUGUUGGGAGCUUGCCUGCGGGCACCUCCUUAAAGCUAUUGGCGGAGUCGUGUUGGCCCCAAGCGUAGUAAUUUUUUUCCUCGCUUCAGGUGUCCCAGCGCUGGCGUCCAGCCGUAAAACCCCUAAUUUUCUAGUGGUUGACCUCGGAUCAGGUAGGAAUACCCGCUGAACUUAA
rnacentral:misc_RNA from 1 species